GAGAAUAUAGCUCAGUGGUAGAGUGUGUGCUUAGCAGGUGUGAGGUCCUGGGUUCAAUCCCCAGUACCUCCA
rnacentral:tRNA from 1 species